AUUUCAAUAAGGGGUAGAUUCGCUAAUGUUGAUACAGGACCAACAUGACCAUUUCAAUAAGGGGUAGGUUCACUAAUGUUGAUACAGGACCAACAUGACCAUUUCAAUAAGGGGUAGAUUCGCUAAUGUUGAUACAGGACCAACAUGACCAUUUCAAUAAGGGGUAGAUUCGCUAAUGUUGAUACAGGACCAACAUGACCAUUUCAAUAAGGGGUAGAUUCGCUAAUGUUGAUACAGGACCAACAUGACCAUUUCAAUAAGGGGUAGGUUCACUAAUGUUGAUACAGGACCAACAUGACCAUUUCAAUAAGGGGUAGAUUCGCUAAUGUUGAUCUAGG